AGCUCAAUGGAUAGAGCAUCUGACUACGGAUCAGAAGGUUGGGGGUUCGAGUCCCUUC
rnacentral:tRNA from 1 species